UACGUAGGGUGCAAGCGUUGUCCGGAAUUAUUGGGCGUAAAGAGCUCGUAGGCGGUUUGUCGCGUCUGCUGUGAAAUCCCAGGGCUUAACCCUGGGCCUGCAGUGGGUACGGGCAAACUAGAGUGCGGUAGGGGAGAUCGGAAUUCCUGGUGUAGCGGUGAAAUGCGCAGAUAUCAGGAGGAACACCGGUGGCGAAGGCGGAUCUCUGGGCCGUAACUGACGCUGAGGAGCGAAAGUGUGGGGAGCGAACAGG
rnacentral:rRNA from 1 species